rnacentral:miRNA from 1 species
UGAUAAGCCUGACGAGAAGGU